AUCUAAUAUUUUCACUCUUCGUCGGCCCCCUUCUGUUUGGAAGAAAAAGGAAAAAAUGUUAAAGGACCCUGUUGGGGAAUCCCUUCCUGCAGAUCCUGAUGCCCUCCAGCACACCGUUACAGCGCAGCUGGUGCAUGACCAGAGGAUUCU